rnacentral:rRNA from 1 species
GAUGAACGCUAGCGAUAGGCCUAACACAUGCAAGUCGAGGGGCAUCACAUGAAGUAGCAAUACGGAUGGUGGCGACCGGCGCACGGGUGAGUAACACGUAUGCAACCUGCCUUCAACAAGGGGAUAACCCGUUGAAAGACGGACUAAUACCCUAUAACACAGGGGUCCCGCAUGGGAAUAUUUGUUAAAGGACAACCGGUUGAAGAUGGGCAUGCGUUCCAUUAGCUAGUUGGCGGGGUAACGGCCCACCAAGGCAACGAUGGAUAGGGGAACUGAGAGGUUUAUCCCCCACACUGGUACUGAGACACGGACCAGACUCCUACGGGAGGCAGCAGUGAGGAAUAUUGGUCAAUGGACGCAAGUCUGAACCAGCCACGUCGCGUGAAGGAAGACGGCCCUACGGGUUGUAAACUUCUUUUAACGGGAAUAAAGUGCCCCACGCGUGGGGUUUUGCAUGUACCGUAUGAAUAAGGAUCGGCUAACUC